UUAAGUUGUGAAUUAAUGUCACUAUAUUUGAUCCAUGGAUGCUUAUUUAAUAGCAGGUGAUACAUAUACCUUAUUUUUACACGUAAUUCCAACCUCGACAAACUGAUUAUAUGAUACCACAAAAGAAAAUCCAUUUCAUCUGGUACACGCAAGACAAACCUCUCAAGUAUUCAAUAUUAAGAAAGCAAACUGUUAGAUUAAGUUCACAUGAGCCAUAACUUAAGGUUCUUCUGAAGAAUCAGAAUAUGUGAAUCGUAAAAAUCAACGUGGCGUCGUUAGAGAUAUAGCUUCACAUUGUCCAUGUAGUUCAAAACAAUGGCCUAAAGGCGUUGUACCUGAACACAUUUCAACCAAGUAGUGAAAUCAAUCAAUCAUUCAAUUCAAAGGUGUGUGCAGGAUGGGAUUAACACAAGUCAACAAAACAAAAUGCCGAGCAUAAUGUAUCUUAGAUUGCAUUAAACAAAUAUAAUACGCUAACUUCAACUUGUAAACAAGUUCAUGUAAGUGUGUGAGAGAGGUGACAGGACACACCGUGAACUCAUCCCUUUUACCAAGCAGUGCAUACUAUUCGUAAAUGAAAAAUAUUAGAGAUUAAAAUUAACAUAGCUAAGCUCAUAACUAGGUGGUUGUACAUUGUUUCCCAAUAGUUCGAGCUAUACUUCCAAUGAUUGAAGAUGCAACACAUGUGAAGAUCAGACAAAAAAUUCUGCAAGAGUUCUUCUAGAGUUACAACAUGUGGCAGAUCUGAAUAAAUACAAAUAUAUAUCAAACAUACAACCAUGUACAGUAAUAUGCAUAGAAACAAUAAAAAUGAAUUUGUAGAAGCUAGCCUUCACCAUGCAUGUGUCGGGCUGCGUAUAUGCUUCAUAUUUUUUAAAGGAGGAAAGAACCUGGGCCUCUGCAUCAGAACAAUGCAUGCAGCCAUUUAAUUAAAAGUCUAGCAAAUCAAGGUCUAUAGUAUCUGGUUCACAUUCCUACGCAUAAAUCCAUUUUUUGUUAUGUUAUCAUAACAAACUUGCUUCCUUAGUUUGCAAUACAUAACCAUAUGGGCAAGUAAACAAAGAGAGAAACAAUAUGGUGGAUCAAUAAAAAAUGUGAACUGUUUACUUGCAUCAACAACACGAAGACUGAAGUGUGUACAUCAGGAAAAAUAACUUUUAUGUACAAAAUACCAAAAACUUAUACUACCUUAAAAAUCCCAGCAGAUGAAACUACAAAAAUGUGAAGUUUACCGUACACUCAUUUAGCUAGCCAAUUGUACAAUGUUGCAUAAGAGAACAUAUAGGACAGUACCCCUAUAGUCAACCAUUCAAGAACCCUGCAUGUCAGAAUUUCAACACUAAAAAAUACAUCAAAGUUGAGUGGAUAUAGAGCUAGACAAAAGAACCAGGUGCCCUGAGAACUAAUAAAUGAUAAAAGAAGAGAAACAAUCUCAGCAAAAUUGCCUAAGCUUUGACUAAUAGCAAAUACCAUGGCAUGGUAACAUGACUGAAUUGUACAUACAGUCCAUUGUGGAUUCCAACAAACAACCCCUCCUUACCUCCAUACUGUUACUAUUAAGCACUUCUCUGAACGGCCUCGUCUUGUAUCUCAUAUUAUAUUGAAUUGUAAGUAAGACCAUUUGAUAAAUGUGCUAUCCAAAUCUGCGAGCAAAGAAAGAAGAUAAAUAAUCAUUCCCAUAUGGUAGUACAUAGUGCCUGAUUACAGUAAUAACAUCCUUAACAACAAAGAUUAUGGGUGUCCAGGAUGCUAUCUGUUGAGUUGCAUUGCAUCAUAGUUGGGCCAGUCGGCGAGUGCCUAGGAACUGUUACAGCGACGCUUUAGGCGAGUCUUAAACUGCAGAAGAUAAAUUGUGGUUCCUUCCUGAAGGCUCAGUGAACAAGACAACAAAGGAAUGGUUGAUCCCCUCCUUGCCAGCUGAAAAAAUGCAAACAUAAUGCUUGGAGAAUCUCUUGUCGCAGUGAUCCCUUUCCAUUAGAAAAUUUAGAGAAGCCAAAAAAUGAAUGGUUGGACAGGGGGUGGCAUGUCUAAC
rnacentral:lncRNA from 1 species